rnacentral:pre_miRNA from 1 species
CGGCUCGGAUGAGGACAAUGUUGUGACGUCACUACCAAUAUUGCACUCGUCCCGGCCUUA